UAUAUGUAUAUAUAUAUAUAUGUAUGUGUAAGGAAUAUAGUCUUUGCAUGUGGCAGAUGUAUAUGUAGGAUAAACACUAGAAAUGUACAGAAAAUAGACUUUGUCAAAUGCCAGGUGGGAUACUUAGAAGUAGUAGAUAGCUUCCAUUAUCUGGGUGACCAAGUCAGCAGUAGAGGUGGAUGCUCCAAGAGCGUAACUGCUAGAAUAAGAAUAGGCUGGGCAAGGUUCAGAGAACUUCUACCUUUGUUGGCAACAAAGGGCCACUCCCUCAGAGUGUAAGGCAGAUAUUUUGAUGUCUGUGUGCAAACAGCCAUGCUACACAGCAGUGUAACAUGGGCUGUGACUGC